rnacentral:lncRNA from 1 species
AUCUUGUUCCUCCUGAAUUCGGGCACAUGGACAGGGGCUCCUGGGAGAACUGAGCAUGGGUUAUGGGCUCAGACAGUCCCACGUUCAAAUGCAAGCUCUGCUUCCUACUUCCUGUGUGACUUUGGGCAGAUUGCUUCUCUUCUGAUUCCCCAUUUUCCUCCAGUUGAGGAUACUACCCACCUCUGGGACUUCUAAGGACUAAGUGAUAAGCAGGUGGAUGACUGUUGUAAAGUGACCACACCUGGACAGAGAAGACUCAUGUGACAGAGGACGUCAGAGUAUGUACAAUGCCUGGUGACCGGCUGAUAAGAAGGGGUGUGUGUUAAUGCCUUGUUCUAAAGUGGCAGAGGAAGGGAGGGAGUGGUCUGCAAGAAGAGACACCGAAUUCUUUUUUGCAGGUGGGGAGUUUGAGAAGCCCCUGCACGGAAAUGUCCAGGAGGCAUUUGGAGCUCCAGAGAGCUGAUCUGGGCCAGAAAUGGGUGUGCUAGCUUAGACGAGAUGGCUGGUGGGGCUACGGAGUGUGUAGAAUAAUCCCAGGGAGACUCACAGGGAGCUUAGGACAGGGUUCCCAGCGUCACUGGAUCUGUGGGAUGGUUCCAGGAGACAGAGGCUCAACGGAAGAGGCGGGAGGACUUUCCCAGCGUCACGGAAGGAGUCAGUCAUCGAGCUGGACUAGAUGUCCGGGUUUCACCUUGCAGUGGAAAUGCCCCUCACCCGCCGUCCAUCCCUCUCCCUCUCCCUGUCCCUCUCCCUCUCUCACUAUAAUAGCAGCUGAUGUUUGUCAUCUUCAAGUGAAAGAAAUAGACUCCGCCUAAUUCAGGGGAAAAGGACGUGGUGUAGCUCAAAUAAUUGACAGGAAAGCUAAGCACUGGACCCCAGAAAGGCCAGGAAGGGGGCCACUCCAGGGAUCUAGGAAGUAAGAAAAAUGAACAUCUCUUCAGGGGACUGUCACUGGGAUGAAUCAGCUUCAGCUACUUCCCAUCCCAGAAUCUUUGCAAAAAUGUCACAUUCCCACGAGAAAGGCCUUGAUAGGUUUGGCUUGGGACAGGGCUUUUUGAUGGAAAGUCCCUGCAAAGCUACACAUAAUCACGAGCUAUCGAGGGGCUGAGACCAGAGGAAAGGGUCACAGAUGCUGCCAGGCAGAAACCCUAGGUAAGCACCCCAGGGACCUGCACAGGGCCCUCCGGGGCCUCCGGUACAGAGCUUAAAGGGCAUCCCUGGAGACUUGAGCACAGAUGCAUGUGAUGGGGCAAUGUGAUUCAUUCAUCGCUACCCACCUAGGCCUGGCAGGGCCCCAAAGGCGGGACAGGGUAGCUUUAACGAGAGGAGGAAGCACAAAACAAGACCUCAGCCAUGCAGACUAGUCAUUAGAUCGAGGGCCGGGUAGGGGAAGGCGUCUAUAUUGCCAGGAAUUGCUCUAGUAUUUUACAUAUCUUAACUCAUUUAUUCCCCACCGCAGCUCUACAGGACAUUCUCUCAGCACCCCUGUGUCGUUGCCCGCAAGCCAGAGGCACAGAGAAGUUAAGAUCUUCUCCCAGGGUCACCCAGUAAAUGGUGGAGCAGAAUUCAGACUGUGUACAUAAUGAUUUCUCCAUAUGGUCUGCAAAUGCCACGUUGUAGGAGAGGAAGUGAAAUCUGUAUCAGGUGAUGCAUUACAUCAAAGCAUCCCUUACAAGAAUCGAGUCUUAGAUUUAACCACUCGGUUUGCUUUUCGUUGUCUCAAAGGCAAUACAUUCUCUAUGCAGAAUAUUUGGAAAACCCAAAAACGCACAAAGGAAAAAAAAUAACUUGAACAUCCACCUUCUUCAAAAAAAAAAACCAAAACACCUUAUUUUUAAUGUUUAUUUAAUUUUGAGAGAGAGAGAGAGAGAGAGAGAGCGCGCAAAAACAGGGGAGGGGCAGGGAGAGAGGGAGACACAGAAUCUGAAGCUGGCUCCAGGCUCUGAGCUGUCAGCACAAAGCCCGACGCGGGGCUCCAGCUCACAAGCCGUGAGGUCAUGACCUGAACUGAAGUCGGCUGCUUAACUAAAUGAAGCCACCCAGAGGCCCCCCAAAAUAACAACUUUUACACAAAUGUAUAACAACUAAGUAACUAAAAAGCAGCUGCAAUUUUCUUUUUCUUUUAAAUGGACUAUCCUCCAUACUGAUUAUCUGAGGCCAGCUUUCCCCGUGUGCUAUUUCCGCAACACUAAAUCAUCUCCAGGAGCGUGAGAGUUAAUGGCUGCGUACUUGUUCCCAACGUAUGGAAGGACCACCAUCUGUCUACCGAACCCCGUACCUUGAGCCAUUUUGUCAUUUCCAAUUCUUCGUGAGUCUAAAUGCAGCAGACACUGCCAGCGGUCUGCUCGGAUUUCCUCUACACCUUUUUCUGUCUGUGCACACCUCGCCAGGCUGCUGGGUACCCUUGUGACACAGAUUUGCAUCUGUGACUCUUUGCAGAACUGUCCUGGGGCUACUAGGACCACUUUGCUCACAGGGUCAAGGAGCCUGAUGUCUGCACACUCCACUCCCAUCCUGGAGGAGACCUUAGCCAAUGAGUGUUGGCAUGCAAGAAUUAAAGCCCAGAUCCCUUGACUCAGGUUGAAACAGACUCUGAUCUGUUCUAGGUUCCUUGACAAUGGGUCCCAGAAGUAGCCUACAGCAGAAGUGACAGCAUGCCAUAUUCAAGGCUACAUAGAUCACAAAAGACAUGUCAGGCCUCCCAGCCUCAUGCUCCCUCUGGGGCCACUUGCUCUGAGGGAAGCUAACUGCCGUGCCUUGAGGACACUCAACCAGCCCCAUUGGAAGGCCCAUAUGGUGAGGGACAGAGGUCUCCGGCCAACAGCCAUUACAGCGAGCUCAGAAGCAGACCCUCCGGCCCCAGUCAAACCUCCAGAUGACGGCGGCCCCGGCUGACAUGUUGACACAAUGUAAUGAGACACAGACAAGAACCACCUGGCUGAACCUCAGCCAAAUACCUGAACCUUAGAAACUGUGCAAUAAUGUUUAUUGUUUUAGGUCAGUACGUUUGAGGGCUAAUCUGUUAUCCAUCAAGAGCUACGGGCUGUUCUUGCCUUUCGCAGCUCCCAAUGCACAUUGCCAGAUUAAAGAAG